rnacentral:misc_RNA from 1 species
UUUCAUGGUUUUCUUGGAAUUUUCUGUAUGGAGGUACAAAAUCUUAUUCCAGUGAGUUUUUUCAGGAAAAUAAUAAGAUUAGUACAGCUGAUUAUGAUUGCUAAAGUGGUUUGGAUUUGUUAUUGGAACAAAGUAAUAUCAUCAUAGUAUCCAAUUGUCUCUAAAAUUUUAUUCAGAUAAGUAAGUUAGUUAUGAAGAGGUAUUUUGCUUAUGUGAUGGAUUACUGAUGUAAAACAAGCUCUGAUACCAAAUUGAUG